rnacentral:rRNA from 1 species
UACGGGGGGGGCAAGCGUUGUUCGGAAUUACUGGGCGUAAAGGGCUCGUAGGCGGCCAACUAAGUCAGACGUGAAAUCCCUCGGCUUAACCGGGGAACUGCGUCUGAUACUGGAUGGCUAGAGGUUGGGAGAGGGAUGCGGAAUUCCAGGUGUAGCGGUGAAAUGCGUAGAUAUUAGGAAGAACACCAGUGGCGAAGGCGGCUCACUGGCCCGGUACUGACGCUGAGGCGCGAAAGCGUGGGGAGCAAACAGG